UUUCUUAUCUCAGGACAUUGCAUUCACAACACAUUCUGCAAUCAUUCUUGAGAACUCUAAGUGAGAAAAUGGGGAGAAACGGGUUGGUCUAAGGUCACCCAGAGAAUUAUUCUCCAGUCAACAUAUUUCAGUAUAUCUGCAGCAAGAUCAUAUUUCAAGUGUGCUGGUAGAGCUUCUCCUUUGAUGGAAACAUUUGUUAUACAGAUUCCAAUUUCAUGCACCAAACACUUCUGCUGAGCUCACUUCUGAGCAACUAAAUAGUGGCUUCCCUAGUAGAUUAAAACUGAACCUUAUCCAUGAAAUGUCUGGGUUCUUGAUAACCAAGCUUAUCUAAGGCUCCGUGUGCUAACGGCAUUACAGUUAAGUGUGUCAUAUGGCAGGGGCAGGGGACCAAGAUGGCCAACUAGAAAUAGCGGCAAUCAGAGGCUCCCAUCGAAAAGAGCCAAAACAAGUAUGUGAAUCUUUCACCAGCAACCAAGGUAUCCAGCUUCUCUCAUCAGAACUGACUAGGAAGCUGGCAUGCUCCACAGAGAGAAAGGAGGUGCAGUGUGGUGUAGCAGCCCACCUGAGAGCCACACGAGCAGGGGAGCCUCCACCACCCAGCCAAGGGAGGUGGUGAGUGAGCAUGCUACCCAGGCUGGGAAACCGUGCUUUUACCACAGAAAUGUGCAACACAUGAAGUGGAAGAUCCCACUCACAAACCCAUGCCACGGAGCCAUGCAGAUUAUCAACAGCCUCUCAGCUGGAAUAGGCUUAAGCCUACCAAUCUCCCAGGGGGAGGGGCGACCAGCACCACAGCUGCAGCUGCCUGCUGUCUCAGCCAUCUGAGCUUCUUGGGGAAGGGGCAGCAUUCAGCACUGGGACUCACAACUUCCUAACACACUAAGGUCCCUGGGCAGGAGAAGGGUGGCAUUCAUCUCUAUAGCUCCAGGCUGUGCUUUUCCCCUGCUGGAGCCAGGGAGGCUGGACGGCUUGGUCCCAAGAUGUGUCCCCCACAGCCCAACACACCAGCUGUGGAAGACUGCAGCCAGAGUGCCUCUUCAGGCCUGACCCCGACUCAUUAUUCCUCACUGGGCGGGGCUUCCAUGCAAGAACUCCCGUAACUCCAGCCAGAGGCUCAGGGACAGAACCUGAAUCUCUCUGGGCCUGAUCCCCUAGGGGGAUGGGUGGCCACAGACUCUGUGGACCAGGAGACUUAUCCUUUCCUCCUGGUAGUUCUGAGGAAUAUGGGCAGCCUAGUUGAGUGGGUUUCCCCCCAGCAAAGCACACCCCCUCCACCAAGGGACAGUCAAGGUACUUUGUUAAACAUGUCCUGUUUCCCGUUUCACCCAACUGGGUAAGACCCUCUGACAGGGGUUGUCAGACAUCCUAUACAGGAGCGAUCCUACUGGCAUCAGGUUGGUGCCUGCCCCUCAAGGUCAGAGAUCCCAGAAGAAGGAGCAGGCAUUCAUCUUUGCUGUUCUCCAGCCUCCUUGAGUGACAUCUCCAGGAGUGGGAGUGAACCAAGUGAAUAGAACCUGAAGUGAACCCCCAGCAAACCCCAGCGGCCCUGCAGAAGAGAGACAUGACCAUUGAAAGAAAAACAACAAACAGAAAGCAACAAUAACAGCAUUGACAACAAGAUAAAAGCCCCCCCCCAAAAAACCCCAUCAAAGGGUUGGCAGCCACAAAGAUCAAAACUAGACAAACUCACGAAGAUGAGAAAGAAUCAACAAAAAACAGCUGAAAACCCAAAAGGCAAGAGUGCCUCUUCUCCUCCAAAUGAUCACAGUGUCUCUCCAGCAAGGUCACAGAAUUGGAUGGAGGAUGAGAUAGACGAAUGGACAGAAGUAGGUUUCACAAGAUGGGUAAUAAAAAACUACCCUGAGCUAAAGGAGCAUGUGCUAACCCAAUGCAAGGAAGCUAAGAACUUUGACAAAAGGUUAGAGGAGCUGCUAACUAGAAUAACUAGUUUAGAGAGGAACAUAAAUGACCUGAUGGUGAUGAAACACACAGCAUGAGAACUUCAUGAAGCAUAUACAAAUAUCAAUAGCCAAAUUGACCAAGCGGAAGAAAGGAUGUAAGAGUUUGAAGAACACUUUGCUGAUAUAAGACAUGCAGACAAGAUUAGAGAAAAAGAAUAAAAAUGAAUUAACAAAGCCUCCAAGAAAUAUGGGACUUCAUAAAAAGACUGAACCUACGAUUGAUUGGAGUACCUGAAGGAGACGGGGAGAAUUGAAACAAGCUGGAAAACACACUUCAGGAUAUUAUCCAGGAAAACUUCCCCAACCUAGCAAGGCAGGCCAACAUGCAAAUUCAGGAAAUACAGAGAACACCGCUAAGAUACUCCAUGAGAAGAUCAACCCCAAGACACGUUAUCACCAGAUUCUCCAAGGUUGAAAUGAAGGAAAAAAUGUUAAGGGCAGCCAGAGAGAAAAGCCAGGUCAUCUACAAAGAAAAGCCCAUCAGACUAACAUUGGACCUCUCAGCAGGAACUCUACAAGCCAGAAGAGAUUGGGGGCCAAUAUUGAACAUUCUUAAAGAAAAGAAUUUUCAACCCAUAAUUGCAUAUCCAGCCAAACUAAGCUUCAUAAGCAAGGGAGAAAGAAAAUCCUUUUCAGACAAGAAAAAGCUGAGGGAUUUCAUUACCACAAGGCCUGCCUUGGAAGAGCUCCUGAAAGAAGUCCUAAAUAUGGAAAGGAAAAACCAGUACCAGCCACUGCAAAAACACACCAAAAUAUAAAGACCAAUGACAUUAUGAAGAAACUGCAUCAACUAGUGUGCAAAAUAACUAGAUAGCAUAAUGAUGACAGGAUCAAAUUCACACAUAACAAUACUAACCUUAAAUUCAAAUGGGCUAAAUGCCCCUAUUAAAACACACAGACUGUCAAAUUGGAUAGAGUCAAGGCCAUUGGUGUGUUGUAUUCAGGAGACCCAUUUCAUGUGCAAAGACACACAUAGGCUCAGAAUAAAGGGAUAGAGGAAAAUUUACCAAGCAACACAAACAAACAAACAAACAAAAACAGCGGGGGUUGCAAUUCUAGUUGCUGUCAAAACAGACUUUAAACCAACAAAGAUCAAAAAAGACAAAGAAGGGCAUUAUGGUAAAGGGAACAAUUCAACAAGAAGAGCUAACUAUUUUAAAUAUAUAUGCACCCAAUACAGGAGCACCCAGAUUCAUGAAACAAGUUCUUAGGGACAUACAAAGAGACUUAAACUCCCACAAUAAUAGUGGGAGACUUUAACACCCCACUGUCAAUGUUAGACAGAUCAACGAGUCAGAAAAUUAACAAGGAUAUUCAGGACUUGAACUCAGCUAUAUAGACAUCUACAGAACACUCCACCCCAAAAUCUACAGAACUCUCCACCCCAAAUCAACAGAAUAUACGUUCUUCUCUGUGCCACAUGGCAAUUAAUUUAAAAUCAGCCACAUAAUUGGAAAUAAAACACUCCUUAGGAAAUGCAAAAGAACGGAAAUCAUAACAGUCUCUCAGACCACAAUGCAAUCUAAUUAGAACUCAGGAUUAAGAUGCUCACUCAAAACCACACAAUUAGAUGGAAAUUGAACAACCUGCUCCUGAAUGACUACUGCGUAAAUAAUGAAAUUAAGGCAGAUAUCAAAAAGUUAUUUGAAACUAAUGAGAACAAAGAGACAACAUGCCAGAAUCUCCCGGGACACAGUUAAAACCAUAUUAGUUGAAAAUUUGUAGCACUACAUGUCCACAUCAGAAAGCCAGAAAGAUCUCAGAUCGACACCCUAACAUCACAAUUAAAAGAGGUAGAGAAGCAAGAGAAAACUAAUCCAAAAGCUAGCAGAAGGCAAGAAAUAACUAAGAUCAGAGCAAAGUUGAAGGAGAUAGAGACAUGAAAAACCCUCCAAAAAUUCAAUGAAUCCAGGAUUUGUUUUUUUGAAAAAAUUAACAAAGUAGAUAGACCACUAGCUAGACUAAUAAAGAAGAAAAGAGAGAAGAUUCAAGUAGACACAAUAAAAAAUGAUAAAGGGGAUAUCACCACUGACCCCAUAGAAAUACAAACUACUACUAUAUAGAUAAUAUUAUAAACACCUCUAUGCAAGUAAACUAGAAAAUCUGAAAGAAGUGGAAAAAUUCCUGGACACCUACACCCUUCCCAGACUAAACCAGGAAGAAGUCGAAUCCCUGAAUAGACCAAUAACAAGAUCUGAAAUUGAGGCAGUAAUUAAUAGCCUACCAACCAAAAAAAGCCCGGGCCAGACAAAUUCACAACCAAAUUCUACCAGAGGUACAAAGAAGAGCUGGUACCAUUCCUUCUGAAACUAUUCCAAACAAUUGAAAAGGACAGACUCCUCCCUAACUCAUUUUAUGAAGCCAGCAUCAUCCUGUUACCAAAACCUGGCAGAUAACACACACACAAAAAUAAAACUUCAGGCCAAUAUUCCUGAUUAACAUCGAUGCAAACAUUUUCAAUAAAAUGCUGACAAACCGAACCCAGCAGCACAUCAAAAAACUCACCCAUGACAAUCAAGUAAGCUUCAUCCCUGGGAUGCAAGGCUGGUUCAACAUACACAAAUCAAUAAACACAAUCUAUCACAUAAACAGAACCAAAGACAAAAACCAUAUGAUUAUCUCAAUAAAUGCAGAAAAGGCCUUUGAUAAAAUUCAACAUCGCUUCAUGUUAAAAACUCUCAAUAAACUAGGUAUUGAUGAAGCAUAUCUCAAAAUAAUAAGAGACAUUUAUGACAAACCCACAGGCAAUUUCAUAUUGAAUGGGAAAAAGCUGGUAGCAUUCCCUUUGAAAACCAGUACAAGACAAGGAUGCCCUCUCUCACUACUCCUAUUCAACAUAGUGUUAUAAGUUCUGGCCAGGGCAAUAAGGCAAGAGAAAGAAAGAAAGUGUAUUCAGAUGGGAAGAGAGUAAGUCAAAUCGUCUCUGUUUGCAGACAACGUGAUUUUAUCUUUAGAAUACCCUAUCAUCUCAGCCUAAAACCUCCUUAAACUGAUAAGCAACUUCAGAAAGUCUCAGGAUACAAAAUCAAUGUGCAAAAAUCACAAGCAUUCUUUUACACCAACAACAGACAAGCAGAGAGCCAAAUCAUGAAUGAACUUUCAUUCACAAUCGCUAUGAACAGAAUAAAAUACCUAGGAGUACAGCUUACAAGGGAUGUGAAGGACCUCUUCAAGGAGAACUACAAACCACUGCUCAACGAAAUAAGAGAGGACACAAACAAAUGGAAAAACUUUCUGUCCUUAUGGAUAGUAAUAAUCAAUAUCGUGAAAAUGGCCAUACUGCCCAAAGUCAUUUAUAGAUUCAAUGCUAUUCCCUUCAAACUACCACUGACAUUCUUCACAGAAUUAGAAAAAACUACUUUAAAUUUCAUAUGGAAUUAAUUGCUUGUUGAUAGAACAAGGGGAUACCAAUGUUAAAAUUGUUUUCAAAAGAGAUUUUACUUAGCACUUCUACAAAGAGUAUAUAUGAGUCUGUUUAAAUUCAAAGUAAUAAAUUGGUAUUAUUAUAUUUCCUAGAUGUUUCCAAUCAAGUAAGUGUGAAAUAGUAUCACAUUGUGGCUUAAUUUACAUUUUCCUGAUUACUAAUGAGGUUGAGCAUCUGUUCAUAUGUUUACUCAACAUGCGUUUUCUUUUUUUUGCUGCUAUAUCUUUUCCCCAUUUUUCUCUUGCCUUGCUUGUGUUUUUCAUAUUGGUUUAUAGAAGUUCCUUAUAUACUGUAAACAUUAACUUUUUGGCAAUUAUGGAAAAUCUUUUUAAAGUUUAGUCUUGUUUUACUUUCUUUUCAUAAAAUGAAUUCUUAGUUUCCAUGUGGUAAACUUUGUUAUUCUUUUAUUUUAUGGUUAACAGAAUUUGUGUUUAUUUAAGAAAUUCUUGUUUAAUAAAUUUACUCAGAUCCCAACAUCAGAAAAAUACCUAAUACACUCUUUGAAAAUAUUUAGAGAUCUGUUUUUUACUUCUAAUUGUUUGAUUCUCAAGUGAUGGAUUUGUGGUUACUAAGGUUGUUCUUACAUCCCAUUGUGCAUCUGUAUCACUUAGAUGGUUCAUUAUAACAUGAAUUGUUGUCCCACCUAACAGAGUUUGUGAUUCAGCCAUUCUGUGGUUGGGCCCAAGAUUAUAGAUUCAAACAUGUUCUCAGUUUAUAUUGAUGCUCUGGACUAGGCGCCAUGCUUUGAAAAUCAAUUGUGCACACUCUGAGGCUGGAAAACCAAUUUAACUUAUAUUCUCUAAGGAUAGUCAAUGUAAUUUAUUUUCUGUAAGGAUAAUUUAUUUUCUAUAAUUGUUUUAGAAUGUCUACUAAAGUAAGUCUAUAAAGUUUAUAAUUUCCCCAGUGACCUAAAAUGCCAAAUGUCAUACAUAAUUUUUAUUUCUUUGUGGUUUUAUAGCUCUUUUAUUCCAUUGAUCAAUUUGUUUAUUUCUGUUUAAUAGCACAUUAACUUAUUUGUAUGGCUUUAUAGAAUAGCAAGUUAACCAAUGUAUUCUUACUUAGUAAGAUUUGGGGUAUUCUUGGCACUUAAUUCUUGUAUACAUUUCAUAAUCAAUAUGAACAUGUCACAAGAAAUCCUAUGGGUUUUUUGUUGAAAUUGCACUGAAUAAUACAACAAUUUUCUGAAAUUAGAUGGCCUUUUUGUAUUUUUUCCUCUGUACAUAUAAUGUAAUUUAAUUAUUUCUCUUAGAAUUUUCUUCAGGUAGUACUGAACAUCUUUUUAAAUUUUAAUUUGUCACUAAGUUAAAUUUGUAUAUCUAUGUCUAUCUUUCUAUCUAAACUUAUAAAUAAGCAGAAUCUAUAGCUAUGUCACUGCUUUUUUCAGUUUUUAUUGUGAAAUAUGUGUAUGUUCAUAGGCAGAUGCACAAAUAAGGUAGUGAGAUCUGGUGCAGCCUUAACUUCAUGUCCUCUUAUGGUAACAUGUAAUUAUAGUACCAUAUGAAAUUUAUAAAAUUAGUCUUUGUACAAUCCAGAGAAUUUACUCUGAUAUUUUAAGGUUAACAUACACUCAUUUGUGUAGUUUAUAUGUAUUUGUGGUUUUCUCAUAUGUGUAGAUUAC
rnacentral:lncRNA from 1 species